rnacentral:rRNA from 1 species
GAUGAACGCUGGCGGCGUGCCUAAUACAUGCAAGUCGAGCGAACAGACGCGGAGCUUGCUCCUCUGUCGUUAGCGGCGGACGGGUGAGUCACACGUGUAUACCCUACCUAUAAUACUGGGAUAACUUCGGGACACCGGAUCUAAUACCGGAGAAUAUAUUGAACCGCAUGGUUCAAUGGUGAAAUACGGUUUUGCUGUCACUUAUAGCUGCAUACCCGCCGCUUUAGCUAGUUGGUAAGUUAACGGCUUACCAAGGCGACGAUGCGUGAACGACGGGUCAGGGUGAUCGCCCACACUGGAGGUUGGACACGGUCAAGAGUCCUGCGGGAGGCAGCAGUAGGGAAUCGGCCGCAAUGGGCGAAAGCCUGACGGAGCAAGGCCGCGUGAGUGAUGAAGGUGUUCGGAGCGUAAAACUCGGUUAUGAGGGAAGAACAAAUGUGGAAGUAACUAUGCACGUCGUGACGGUACCUGGUCAGAAAGCCACGGCUAACUACGUG